rnacentral:rRNA from 1 species
GAUGAACGCUGGCGGCGUGCCUAAUACAUGCAAGUCGAGCGAACGGACGAGAAGCUUGCUUCUCUGAUGUUAGCGGCGGACGGGUGAGUAACACGUGGAUAACCUACCUAUAAGACUGGGAUCACUUCGGGAAACCGGAGCUAAUACCGGAUAAUAUUUUGAACCGCAUGGUUCAAAAGUGAAAGACGGUCUUGCUGUCACUUAUAGAUGGAUCCGCGCUGCAUUAGCUAGUUGGUAAGGUAACGGCUUACCAAGGCAACGAUGCAUAGCCGACCUGAGAGGGUGGUAGCCCACAUUGGAAGUGAGACACCGUCCAGAGUCCUAAGGGAGGCAGCAGUAGGGAAUCUUACGCAGUGGGCGAAAGCCUGACGGAGCAACGCCGCGUGAGUGGUGAAGGUGUUCGGAGCGUAAAGCUCUGUUAUUAGGGAAGAACAUAUGUGUAAGUAACUGUGCACAUCGUGACGGUACCUAAUCAGAAAGCCACGGCUAACUACGUG